rnacentral:siRNA from 1 species
UAUUUCGUGUAGCUGGAUAUACA